rnacentral:lncRNA from 1 species
GGAAUUUGGGAUCUGAUAUAUUAAUUUAAUGGUAUUUGCAAUGUAUAUGAUUUUGAAUUCGAUGGAUUAUUUAGGAGGAGCUGGGACAUUUAACAGACUAUUAUCAUUAAAAAUCAAUGCAACAUCAUGGUUUGUGGUAUAUCGCAGUAUAUGUUAAAAGAUUUUUAAAAAUUGAUUUGGUUUCCUAUGACAUCAAAGUUCACUUUUAGAAAAAACUUCAGAAUUAACCUUGUUUGAACUGAAGUAGUAUAAGGAUGGGUGACCUAUAGUCAAAAAGAUUUUCGUUACUAUGUGAAUAAGGCCAAAACACAUGGAAAGUGUCACAUCCAGUCCCGCCAGUAUGUGGGCUUUUUUUUUUAUGAGUUUGGACAAAAGCCCAUCUUCUCUCUUCUUUUAUUUCUGGCCCACGUAAUAAA